AAGGAGUAAAGGGAGCGCCAACGUACAUGCAAAUUUCACCCAAAGCAUCAGCAGCAAUUUCCUUUUCCAUAGCAAUGGCGCUGUUAACACCCAUAGCCUUUUCAAGCUCUUCAUCAUUUUCCUCUUCAUUGGUUUCAACUGAAUCUAAUAGUUGGCUAAUCUCCUCGGCAGUAGGCGCUCCGAUACGUUCAGACAAUAUAUCUGACUCAUCUUGAUCGAUGGAUUUGAAUAAAGCAGGAACAAUGUGCUCCAAAAAUGGUGCGAACUCUUCUUUAUAAACACGAGCAAGGACAGCAUAGAAGCAGAAAGAACACUCACGAAGUCGUGAAUGAUCAAUUUGGAUACCCUCAUAAGCUAGUUGAAUAAGUUGUUCAGUGUAAGGCAAAAACGCUUGUUUACCAACUGCGUUUGCAAUGGCACCGAGGGUAUCCAUAACUGUACCACGAAGUUCGUAUCCUUCAUCAUCAUCAGUGGUAUGUAAACAUUGCGAGAGACUAGCCAUUGUACGUUCGAAAUAAGGUAUAAAGUCAUCUUGAGCAGCAAAUGCUGCAGAGCCAAUAGCAGCGGCAACACAGCUCUUAAUGUCAGGAGUGUCGCUGAACUCCAACAAGCCGACAAGUCUUUCCAUAAGCAUCGGUAAAUAACCAGAAAUCUCAGACUUAUCCAGACCUUCUAAAAGGGCGUCAAUGCAAUUGCAAGCUGAUUUGCCUACCUUUACACCUUGAGUUGACAUCAGUUCGAAUACCAAUGGCAAAAGCUGAGCAUGGUGUUUAGAAACUUCAGUAGGAAUUUCAACAGCAAUUUGACUCAAUGCAAGCAGAGCUGCCUGACGAACAUCCAUAUCAUUAUCGCAUAAACCAUUUAUAAUGAUAGGAAAUAUGUUAGGAAGAUUUCCAGCAACAGAUUCUGAUGAGCCUUCAACGGCAACGCCAAUUGAUAGCAAAGCAGCUUUACGAUAGCUAGCCUGUGGAGAUUGCGAGAAUGCACAAGCAGCUUCAAACAUAGGGUAAAAAACCUGUGAAGGCGACAAAUGUGUAGAUAGAAGAUCAAUGGAACGUAAGGCAAGACGAGCAGGACAAUCUUCAUCUAUGUCAUCAGUAGUUUCUUCCGUAGCAACUUCCAUAAGCGUAAGGACUAGAGGCUUACCAAGUUUAAGAGCUUGCAGCUUACGUGACUUGAAACGUAUGCACGAAAUUAUAAAAGAAAGGGCCAUACAGCGAAUUUCAUCAUCGACCUGCUUGGAAUUUGCAAUGCCAGUAAUAAUUUCAAUAAUAUUACCAAGUGCUUUGGAAAUAAUGGCACCAGAAGCAAUAAGAAAAGUGUUAAAAACAUCAAAAACUUGCUUGCUGGCAUCCACAUCACCGACCUGAACGACAUCUUGAAGAACCAAAAGCAUGCCAGGCAAGGUAGCACGAUAAGCGUGCAAAAGCUUUUUAUCAUCAGACUCCAAAACCUCUGCAAUUGCACCAAGACCUUGAACAGAAGUAACACGAACUGUUCGACUAGAGUCAGUAAUUGUUUGGGAGAAUAAGUUGACAAAAUCCAAAAGGAGCUUAUUAUCUAAAUCUACCGUUUCAGCAAUUGAGUAGAGAACAUAAACAGCCAUUUCACGAAUAGAAUCGUUUUGAUCCAUAGUGGCUUGGACCAGGAAAGCCGAUAAUUCAUUCCAUUUUCCUUCAGGUAAAUCAAGCUUAGCCAAGGCAGCAAUCACACGACCAAAAGCAUGACGGACGAUACUUUCAGGUUCCUUCAAGGUAAUAUCUAACAAAUUACUACGGAUCUGAUUUUGGACAUCCGCGUCAACGGAUGACCAAUAUUUAUGACAAAGCUUACGUGCCUCGAUGGCAGCUAACUGACGAACUUGGGGAUUUUCACAAGUUCCCAUAAUAUGGAAAAGAGAAAGUAGUGAGCCAGGUUCCUUCAAAUACUUUGUUUCCAAGGCGCGAGUGGCCUCAGUAAUUUGAGUGGUAUCAGGAGCGAUGCUUUGAAAAAGCAGC